rnacentral:rRNA from 1 species
GUUGUUUAGUUGAAAAUCAAUUAAAUAAUUUUUGAUUUUGAGUAGUAUUGACUUCAUCAGCUUGCUGCUCUCUUUUCGGAAAUUAUUUAAUGCACUUUUCAGUUAACAAGUCAACAUCAAUUUCUUUUGUUGUAAAAGGGUAAGAGGAAGGUGGCUUACAUUUCGGUGUAAGUGUUUAUAGCCUUUUACCUCUGCAAUCGGAGAGAUUGAGGUCAGCAGCGUAGACUCUUCGGGGUUAGAUACGCUUGUGCUAAGCUAUAGCCUUGUAUAGACAACUUGUUGACUAUGCUCAGUCAUGUAGCUUACUCGCUUGCAGUAUUUUACCUAC